rnacentral:rRNA from 1 species
AGGACGAACGCUGGCGGCGCGCUUAACACAUGCAAGUCGAGCGAGAACCAGGACUUCGGUCCUGGGGACAGCGGCGAACGGGUGAGUAACACGUGGAUAACCUGCCCUCGGCACCGGGAUAGCCCGGGGAAACCCGGAUUAAUACCGGAUGGCCCUUCCGGCUCACGAGCCGGUCGGAAAAGGUAGCUUCGGCCUCCGGCCGAGGAUGGGUCCGCGGCGGAUUAGCUUGUUGGUGGGGUAACGGCCUACCAAGGCUCCGAUCCGUAGCUGGUCUGAGAGGACGAUCAGCCACACUGGGACUGAGACACGGCCCAGACUCCUACGGGAGGCAGCAGUGGGGAAUCUUGCGCAAUGGGCGAAAGCCUGACGCAGCGACGCCGCGUGAGGGAGGAAGGCCUUCGGGUUGUAAACCUCUUUCAGGAGGGACGAAGCUACUCGGGUGAAUAGCCCAGGGGGUGACGGUACCUCCAGAAGAAGCCCCGGCUAACUACGUGCCAGCAGCUGC